UGUUAAAAAUUUCUGCCAAUUUACAGCAAUAUUUUACAGGAACCAUCUGUGUUUACUAAAACACAACAGAUAACUGUAAAGAGAAGUGCAUUUUGGGACAUGCAAACUAUGUGUCUGAUUAUACAGAAAUGAACUGUAAUUUGCAAAGCACUAUUGGAAAAGAACAUGGAAAAUGGCUGGGGUUACAGGCUGCUCCUGUACUUUUUAAAUUGAGAAGACCGUUGGGUUUUUGAUUCUGGAUACCGUUACGUUGUCUCAGACACACGGAUUUCUUGUGAGAAGUGCGUGGUUGAUUGCUUGAAGUAGCUGGCUCAACGCACCGGGCGAGUUGACCUAUCACAUUCGUGUGUAUGACAUGCAGUAUCGUUACUUCUCCAAAAGCAACAGGAAAACGUAUUGUGGCCACUUCACUUGAACAGAUAGUUAAGACAGAGGAUGCAUCACACGGGAGAGCACCAUCCACUACUACGGUCCAAAGCAGCACACUGGCCAGCCAGCCGGACAGCUGCAACAACCUAUGAGAUGACAUAAUGCAUGACAGGACACUGAAUGGGAUUCAUAUUGUACUGUAUACAUGAAGCUCUUGAAGACCCAACUCUUCCAAAGAGCAAGUGGAUGGUUUCCACUGAAGGACAAAUCAUAUGUGAAGGGUCCUCAUUCUUCCCUGGGCUGGCUGUUCUGUUGGAUGUGUUAUGUUUCUAAUUAUGUGUUCAACCUGGAAUACCAGGAUGAACUUGCAUCAACCCUUGUGUUUAUUCAAAGGUGAAUGAAUAUUGUUGAUUGACAUGUUUAUUGGUAUUUUUGUAGAUGCUUCAUCGGGAUCAACUCAGAGGCACACAUGCGCGCGCGGACACACACACACACACACACACACACACACACACAAACACACACCAUUUCAUGUCAGUGAACACAUACACUGUUUUGCCAAAAGUAUUGGGUCACCUGCCUUGACUCACAUAUGAAUUUAAGUGACAUCCCAUUCUUAAUCCUUAGGGUGUGUGAAUUUGUAUAGUGUGUUUAUGGGAAUUUUUUGACCAUUCUUCCAGAAGCGCAUUUGUGAGGUUACACACUGAUGUUGGGAGAGGAGACUGGCUCUCAGUCUCUGCUCUAAUUCAUCCCAAAGGUCUUUAUGGACCUUGCUUUGCGCCCUGAUACACUGUCAUGUUGGAACAGGAAGGGGCCAUCCCUGAGCUGGGUUUGGCCCCUUAAUUCCAGUGAAAGGAGCUCUGAAUGUUUCAGCAUUAACCAAGAGACUUUGGAUUCCAUGCUCCAAACUUUGUGGGAACAGUUUGGGGAUGGCCCCUUCCUGAUACACAAACAAUGAGCAUUGCAUAGGUGUUCCGCAAAGAACUUUCUUCUGUAUGCUUAUGUGCAAACAUGUAAUGUUUUAUAAUUGUGCUAAUA